UUCCAGCUCCAAUAGCGUAUAUUAAAGUUGUUGCAGUUAAAAAGCUCGUAGUUGAACCUUGGGUCUGGCUGGCAGGUCCGCCUCACCGCGUGUACUUGUCCGGCCGGGCCUUCCUUCUGGAGAACCUCAUGCCCUUCACUGGGCGUGUUGGGGACCAGGACUUUUACUUGAAAAAAUUAGAGCGUUCAAAGCAGGCCUUUGCUCGAAUACGUUAGCAUGGAAUAAUAGAAUAGGACGUGCGGUCCUAUUUUGUUGGUUUCUAGGACCGCCGUAAUGAUUAAUAGGGACAGUCGGGGGCAUCAGUAUUCAAUUGUCAGAGGUGAAAUUCUUGGAUUUAUUGAAGACUAACUACUGCGAAAGCAUUUGCCAAGGAUGUUUUCA
rnacentral:rRNA from 1 species